rnacentral:rRNA from 1 species
UACGUAGGGGGCUAGCGUUGUCCGGAAUCAUUGGGCGUAAAGCGCGUGUAGGCGGUUCGGUAAGUCCGCUGUGAAAGUCGGGGGGCUCAACCCUCGGAUGCCGGUGGAUACUGUCGGACUAGAGUACGGAAGAGGCGAGUGGAAUUCCUGGUGUAGCGGUGAAAUGCGCAGAUAUCAGGAGGAACACCGAUGGCGAAGGCAGGUCUCUGGGCAUUAACUGACGCUGAGGAGCGAAAGCAUGGGGGAGCGAACAG